UACGUAGGUGGCAAGCGUUGUUCGGAAUCACUGGGCGUAAAGGGUGCGUAGGCCGCACGGUAAGUCAGAGGUGAAAUCCCGGAGCUCAACUCCGGAAUUGCCUCCGAUACUGCCGUGCUUGAGGACUGGAGAGGAGUCUGGAAUUCACAGUGGAGCAGUGAAAUGCGUAGAUAUUGUGAGGAACACUAGUGGCGAAGGCGAGACUCUGGACAGUUCCUGACGCUGAGGCACGAAGGCCAGGGGAGCAAACGGG
rnacentral:rRNA from 1 species